GUGCCAGCCGCCGCGGUAAUACGGGGGGGGCAAGCGUUGUUCGGAAUUACUGGGCGUAAAGGGUGCGUAGGCGGCUUUUUAAGUCGGAUGUGAAAACUCUGGGCUCAACCCAGAGACUGCAUCCGAAACUGGAGAGCUUGGGUUCUGGAGGGGAAAGCGGAAUUCCUGGUGUAGCAGUGAAAUGCGUAGAUAUCAGGAGGAACACCGGUGGCGAAGGCGGCUUUCUGGACAGAUACCGACGCUGAGGCACGAAAGCUAGGGGAGCAAACAGGAUUAGAAACCCUUGUAGUCC
rnacentral:rRNA from 1 species